CAAAGCAGCAAUGUGCCUUGAGAUGAGCCUGCGGCCCAUUAUUUAAUCCUAGGUUGGCGGGGUAAUGGCCCACCAAGGGUACGAUGGGUAGCUGGUCUGAGAGGACGAUCAGCCACACUGGGACUGAGACACGGCCCAGACUCCUACGGGAGGCAGCAGUGGGGAAUAUUGCGCAAUGGGCGAAAGCCUGACGCAGCCAACCCGCGUGUGUGAUGAAGGCCUUCGGGGUUGUAAAGCACUGUCGUGAGGGAAGAAGUUCUGACGGUACCUCACAAGAAAGCACCGGCUAACCCCGUGCCAGCAGCCGCGGUAAUACGGGGGGUGCAAGCGUUGCUCGGAAUUACUGGGCGUAAAGCGUCCGCAGGCGGACCAGCAGGUCGGUCGUGAAAGCCCGAGGCUCAACCUCGGAACUGCGAUCGAAACCAUUGGUCUUGAGUCCGGGAGAGGGGGGUGGAAUUCCUGGUGUAGAGGUGAAAUUCGUAGAUAUCAGGAG
rnacentral:rRNA from 1 species